rnacentral:rRNA from 1 species
UACGGAGGGUGCAAGCGUUGUCCGGAUUUAUUGGGUUUAAAGGGAGCGUAGGCGGUCUUAUAAGUCAGUGGUGAAAUCUCGUUGCUUAACAACGAACGUGCCAUUGAUACUGUAGGACUUGAGUACAGUUGCCGUUGGCGGAAUGUGUCAUGUAGCGGUGAAAUGCAUAGAUAUGACACAGAACACCGAUUGCGAAGGCAGCUGACGAAACUGUAACUGACGCUGAGGCUCGAAAGCGUGGGGAUCAAACAGG